UACGUAGGGGGCUAGCGUUGUCCGGAAUCAUUGGGCGUAAAGCGCGUGUAGGCGGUUCGGUAAGUCCGCUGUGAAAGUCGGGGGCUCAACCCUCGGAUGCCGGUGGAUACUGUCGAGCUUGAGUACGGAAGAGGCGAGUGGAAUUCCUGGUGUAGCGGUGAAAUGCGCAGAUAUCAGGAGGAACACCAAUUGCGAAGGCAGCUCGCUGGGACGUUACUGACGCUGAGGCGCGAAAGCGUGGGGAGCAAACAGG
rnacentral:rRNA from 1 species